rnacentral:lncRNA from 1 species
UCAUACUUCAGUAAUUAUCAGCGAAACCUAAAUAAAAACCCUCGAGAGCUCUUUUCCCAUCUGGUGCCCUGCUAUCUGAACCCUUUCGCUUUAACGCACCGCUCUCCUCCUCGGCUAGGGCUCCGGCGAUCCGGAGAUCUCCGUCUCGAUCUCCGCCGGCGUCUCCCUCGUCGGGUCCCCGUUCCUUCUACCGAUCGGAUAUCGGCUUGCUGUCUUAACC